ACGGAAGGCAGCAGUGAGGAAUAUUGGUCAAUGGAGGCAACUCUGAACCAGCCAUCUCGCGUGAAGGAAUACGGCCCUAUGGGUCUUAAACUUCUUUUAUAGGGGGAUAAAGUGAGCCACGUGUGGCUUUUUGUAGGUACCCUAUGAAUAAGCAUCGGCUAACUCCGUGCCAGCAGCCGCGGUAAUACGGAGGAUGCGAGCGUUAUCCGGAUUUAUUGGGUUUAAAGGGUGCGCAGGCGGCACGUUAAGUCAGCGGUGAAAUGUCGGGGCUCAACCCGGGCACUGCCGUUGAAACUGGCGAGCUUGAGUACGGAUGAAGUCGGCGGAAUGUGAUGUGUAGCGGUGGAAUGCUUAGAUAUGUCACAGAACACCGAUUGCGAAGGCAGCUGACUAAUCCGCAACUGACGCUCAGGCACGAAAGCGUGGGGAUCGAACAGGAUUAGAUACCCUGGUA
rnacentral:rRNA from 1 species